AUUGAACGCUGGCGGCAUGCCUUACACAUGCAAGUCGAACGGCAGCGGACCUUCGGGUGCCGGCGAGUGGCGAACGGGUGAGUAAUGCAUCGGAACGUACCCUUCAGUGGGGGAUAACGUAGCGAAAGUUACGCUAAUACCGCAUAUUCUGUGAGCAGGAAAGCAGGGGAUCGCAAGACCUUGCGCUGAUUGAGCGGCCGAUGGCAGAUUAGCUAGUUGGUGAGGUAAAGGCUCACCAAGGCGACGAGCUGUAGCGGGUCUGAGAGGAUGAUCCGCCACACUGGGACUGAGACACGGACCAGACUCCUACGGGGGGCAGCAGUGGGGAAUUUUGGACAAUGGGCGCAAGCCUGAUCCAGCCAUGCCGCGUGCAGGAUGAAGGCCUUCGGGUCGUAAACCUCUUUCAGGAGGGACGAAGGUUCAGGCGCGAAUAGCGUCCUGGACUGACGGUACCUCCAGAAGAAGCCCCGGCUAACUACGUGCCAGCAGCCGCCGUAAUAC
rnacentral:rRNA from 1 species